UACAGAGGUCUCAAGCGUUGUUCGGAUUCAUUGGGCGUAAAGGGUGCGUAGGUGGCGCUGUAAGUCGGGUGUGAAAUUUCGGAGCUUAACCCCGAAACUGCAUUCGAUACUGCGGUGCUUGAGGACUGGAGAGGAGACUGGAAUUCAUGGUGUAGCAGUGAAAUGCGUAGAGAUCAUGAGGAAGACCAGUGGCGAAGGCGGGUCUCUGGACAGUUCCUGACACUGAGGCACGAAGGCCAGGGGAGCAAACGGG
rnacentral:rRNA from 1 species